UUUUAAGAGAUAAUUAGGGAUAACGAUCACAAGUUUUAGGAAAUAAGUGCAACUUCCAUUGUCAGAAUAAUUAGAUGUUAUAUAAUUCUAUAUUUCUUGGAUAGCGACCAGACAACUACACAGGGCAAUGCUUGAUGUAUGAGCUUCAGAUAUACAUUUGCAGGGUGUUUAUCCGACGAAUGUGGAUUUUGAAAGGCGAGUACGACAAGUCUGGUCCAUCCAUUGUCCACAAGAAGUGCUUCUAAGUGAACUCAGGUCUUCUGUUAUAGGCAAGUCUUCGAGAUGGGGCUUUACUGCUGAUACUAUUUCAUGUUUCCAGUGCAAGCCUCUUUUGUAAGUAGACAAACUCGAUUUGUAAAUAUGUUUGCGACUCAACUAGUGGUUAGAGUAUUGAUUUUGUAAGAUUUGUGUCCAGAAAAUUAAAUUAGAAAGAUAACUCACGAUGAUUGAAUAAGCUUGAAGAAGUGGAUUUGAAUUUCAAAUCGUGUCUUCUUUUUUAUGUGUGUAUGUGUGUGAGAAAUUUGAAGUGUUGUUUAGAUUUGUUGGAAUAGUCUAAAGAGAUUGUCUCUAUAAAAUUUGAAGUCAUUUGAUGGAGAUCUGA